rnacentral:rRNA from 1 species
GAAACGGUAGCUAAUACCGCAUAACGUCGCAAGACCAAAGAGGGGGACCUUCGGGCCUCUUGCCAUCGGAUGUGCCCAGAUGGGAUUAGCUAGUAGGUGGGGUAACGGCUCACCUAGGCGACGAUCCCUAGCUGGUCUGAGAGGAUGACCAGCCACACUGGAACUGAGACACGGUCCAGACUCCUACGGGAGGCAGCAGUGGGGAA